rnacentral:rRNA from 1 species
GUUGACCUCGGAUCGGGUAG